GGCAGUGUAGUCUAAUGGGUAAGACGCUGGUCUUGUGAUCUAAUGGUCACUGGUUCGAGUCCCGGUGGGACACUGCCU
rnacentral:tRNA from 1 species